UGAAUCUAAAAACUUAACUUA
rnacentral:rRNA from 1 species